rnacentral:lncRNA from 14 species
GGUGUCUACUCAUUAAUCAUUGGUUAAGAAAUACCUCUCAAGACUUAUGUCUGAAGACAUCUGCAGUCAAUGACAGUGUUCUCUACUUGAUGUAAUUUAAGGUAGCCUGAUUGAGUCAGAAACAUUAGGAAAUCUUUGUCUUUGGAACUAAAAUUGUCAACUCGUAUACUUUGGCACUCUUUUCCUGGAAGCCUGCUUUGGUCUGCAUAUUCACUGAAGAACAACAAUGAAUUCCCACCAUUAUGUACCCAUCUACCUUCUCCUAGCAAUGCCAGUGAAGCAUCUGCAAGCACUCAGGCUGCGUUACCUGUCUUCUCUGUAGCUGUAUAAAGCAGGUUAGUUGUAGCAAACUGCUAGAGCUCUCAUUGUAAAUGAGGUCAUUUGGGUAAAACAUGCCUGAUACUUUCACGAAUUCAUGUGUGUAUUCUGAAGCAAUGAAGUGUAUGUGUCUCCAGCAAGCCUCAUUUUAAAGCUGUGAUGGUUUUUUGUAUCAUCAUAAGUGUCAGCAACAAGGUGAAGAUGAG